rnacentral:rRNA from 1 species
AUUGAACGCUGGCGGCAGGCCUAACACAUGCAAGUCGAGCGAGCGGCGGACGGGAGAGUAAUGUGUGGGAAUCUGCCUGAUGGAGGGGGAUAACUACUGGAAACGGUAGCUAAUACCGAAUCCCAUCAGGUGCGCCCAUGUGGGAUUAGCGUGUAGGUCGGGUAACGGCGCACCUAGGCGACGAUCCCUAGCUGGUCUGAGAGGAUGAUAAGCAACACUGGGACUGAGACACGGCCCAGACUCCUACGGUAGUAAGCAGUGGGGAAUAUUGCACAAUGGGCGCAAGCCGGAUGCAGCCAUGCCGCGUGUAUGAAGAAGGCCUUCGGGUUGUAAAGUACUUUCAGUCGGGAGGCGUUACCGACAGAAGAAGCACCGGCUAACUCCGUGCCAGCCGCCGCGGUAAUUC